AUCCGGUCAGAGCGAGUCUCCGGUGAACGGCUCACUGAUUCAAAUGAUCCGGUCAGAACGAGUCUUCAGUUAAUGAUUCACUGAAUUCACUCAAAAGUGAGCCAAUCCUCGGAGCUCGAGUGCGCGUGCGACUGAUGGCGUGAAAAGAAACAUCUUCGUGUCCGUCUUUUUGGACGAGAGUCACAGGAGAGGCGUCCCGGCGUCACGCCAUGGUCUCUUUCCCCGGGAGCCUCCUGUCGUUAAAGGUGUGAAAGGGCGACCUCUGGUGUUUGCGUCUGGUACCUUCUCGAUCUGCGCGUUCUGUUUGGAUUUGUACAGCACCUCGCCGACUGCCACGAACACGGAGAGCACCAGACCGGCGGCGAGGACGAUGAAGAUGCCGCCGAUGUUCUGCACUCCGAGAGCGCUGGCCUCCUUACUCUCCUCCUCCGGACAGCCGUUCCCUCUCCACCACUUCUCCUUCAUCAUGUGCAGCUUGCCCUCCUCCUGCAGCUGCAGGAUGGCGAUGGUGAUCUUGUCCCGAUACGGCGAGCCUGCGGAGGGAGACGAGCCGCAGGACGGAGAAAUCUGCCAGCUCUCCAUCAUCUGUCACUGCAGGUCGCCAUGGCGACAGGUUUAUAAAGAUAGGAUGCUGAUGCUGUAAGCGUGAAUGUUUGAGUAAUAACAGAAGGAUGUGUGUUGUACCCAUGGGU